GAUGAAGAACGCAGCGAAAUGCGAUAAGUAAUGUGAAUUGCAGAAUUCAGUGAAUCAUCGAAUCUUUGAACGCACAUUGCGCCCGUCAGUAUUCUGGCGGGCAUGCCUGUUCGAGCGUCAUUACGCCCCUCAAGUCCCCUGUGGACUUGGUGUUGGGGAUCGGCGAGGCUGGUUUUCCAGCACAGCCGUCCCUUAAAUUAAUUGGCGGUCUCGCCGUGGCCCUCCUCUGCGCAGUAGUAAAACACUCGCAACAGGAGCCCGGCGCGGUCCACUGCCGUAAAACCCCCCAACUUUUUAUAGUUGACCUCGAAUCAGGUAGGACUACCCGCUGAACUUAAGCAUAUCAAGCGGAGGA
rnacentral:misc_RNA from 1 species